UACACUGCCUUAUAAGGCUGAAAUGCUGCUGCCAGAGAGCUGUGGGGCCCAGGCCUUGAAUUCUUGGUGCACCAGUGCUUGACAGGCUCCCCUUAUUUCCCACUGGCACCGCUGGGCCUAGGGGUUUUCCUAUUGUUUUUCUAAAGGCAUUCCAAGGCCAGGACAAUGUUAAUUUAAGUUCCUCCAGGCUGAAUUUUUUUUUUUUUUAAUUACAGAGGGGUGUCACUAUGUUGCCCAGGCUAGAAUGCUGUGCACUACAACAGGCUCAAUUCUCUCUCUCUCUCUUUUUUUUUUUUUUGUCGGAGAUGAGAUCAGCUAAUAACAGACUCAAUUCCUGACCUUCCUAGUUUUCUGAGACUGCAUCCACUUUGAUAGUUUCUACUGAGUCCAAAUUAGAACAUCCCAGCUGGUGGGCUGUCUCCCAGGAAGCCCUCGGAGAGGAGCGGUGCAUAGGGGGCACCUGGACACAGCCCACCUCCCCCGAGUAGCGUCAGGUAGGCUUGUCUAUCUACAUCCUUUCGCCCUUUCUCAGGAAACUAUCAGAUGAUGUGCUCCCCCAGAUGAAGAAGUAGUGCCAGGAAAAAGGAGACACGGGAUACAGGGAUCCUGAAGCCGGCGGAGGACAAGGGAGCUCCUGGGAGGACAGCUGUGCUCCGGCCUAGCAAUAGCGAGCAGCUGGUCCAGACUGCCGCCGUGACUCAGAAGAUAGACAUGCGGAGGGUUAUGAUCACAGAGCAACGAUGGUCCUUGUACAUGAAGAUAAAAAUGCUCAGGUGUGCCCAGGUUGAAGAAGAUGAAAGGCCCUGCCUCCCAGAGCGCCCGGGGACACUGGUGAUCUCUUCCAGGUCUGUUUCCACCCACUGCAGCUGUGAUGGAAUCUUGCUCUGUUGCCCAGGCUAGAAUGCAGUGGCGUGAUCUUGGCUCACCAAAAAUUCUGCCUCCUGGGUUCAAGUGCCUCCACACCCAGCUAAUUUUGUAUUUUUAGUAGAGACGAGAUUUCACCAUGUUGGCCAGGCUAGUCUUGAACUCCUGACAUUGUGAUCCACCCACCUCAGCCUCCCAAAGUGCUAAGAUUACAGGUGUGAGCCACCAUGCCCGGCCUACCUGGAGCAUUAUUAAAACCUUAAACCUUUAAAUUUUUC
rnacentral:lncRNA from 1 species